rnacentral:lncRNA from 1 species
CAAGUGGGCUCUCCUGUUGUGAGGAUUCAUAAAGGCUUUCCAUGUGAGGAUGUCUAUUCUCAACAAGGUUCUUUGACAAACUUGGGUUUUUGAGCAAGAGCACAAAAUCAAAGAUGGGAAUCCGCCUUCAAGUUUAGAGCUCUACUUUUGGUGGUUCUCUCUGUCAGUUUUUGAGCAAGAGCACAAAUCAAAGAUGGGAAUCCGCCUUCAAGUUUAGAGCUCUCCUUUUAGUGCUUCUCUCCGUCUCUCUCUCUCUCCAAUCUGUGUGCAGAUCCAUCCUCACCAUUGAUAAUUGAGGAUCAGAAUGAGGCUUUCCAAUUGUUAUUAGUUCUUUUAUGGUAUUCUUCUCCAAUAAAUUGUUCCUUGGAAAGUUUGUGAUUGCACGAAAUUCGGGGAUAUAACCUCAUCAACCAAGUAAACGACUUCCAAAGAGAAACAAAGGAUUUGAAGCACACCUGUGAGUG